AGGUGAGAUUUUGACAGCUUCUCCUGUGGAAAAAGUUCCAGGUAGAAGUCACAUCAUGAUCAAGACCUGACAGAUCCAAUUCUCCAUGGAGCAGCCACAGGACAAGCAGGGAGUGCUGAAGCAUGCGUUCUGCUAGGAGGGAGGAGGGAUGGGACUUGUGGUUGUUUUGGUGGUGUGGGACAGGGAAAGGAUGAGAAUGAGCACAGUGGAUCCUGGAAGGUUGGGGCUGGGAUCAAGGAGUCUCCUAGUUCUGUGCAGGGAUCCAGAACAGGGAGAUGCAGGCUUGUGGGUACAGAAACAAUUGACCAGCUGGCAGAAGCCAUGAAAGGUGGAUGCAGGAUGGAUCCUGGGCGCCUCUUGGUGGCCAUACUGAUAACUACACCUGGUAACACCCGGACAGCCAGUGCCCAGCUGAUGGACUGCUUCACUUAACUCUGCACUGGGAGGACACACACACCUACCCCGGACUAUCUCUCAUUGCAGUAAGAAUGAUUUGUGUAAAUGCAUCUGUGCCUGAGGCUGUGCCUGAGGCUGUGUGUCUUGUUGCCCAAAUGCGUUGGUGUAUACUUGUGUAUGAGUGUAUGCACGUUCAUUUGUGUGUCUGAGAAUGUGUAUUGGUGCUGGUGACUGCGCACAUGUGCAAGUUGUGCAUGCAUGUAUGUACUAGGUGCUAGCAUGUAAGUAUGCAUUUGCAUGCACUAAUGCCAAAACAUGCAUCUGUAUGUGUGUAUGUUUGUGCAGAUGUGAUCUCUUGUGUGCUUGUGUCUGAGUGCAUGUGUGGUAAUUUAAGUGUAUGGGGCUUGGCUUUCUGUUACACAUUGAAAUAGUUAAGCUCCAUAAUCUUAUUGUUUGUUUAAAGUUUGCUCUUGGAUGCAGGCCUGUUCCAGAAUAACUAGCAGAUGCGAAAAGCAUCCAUUAUGUAUUUUUGCAAUUAGCCGAAAACCCAGAAACUUUUCUUAAAUAACAGACACAAUUCUGUGGGUUGCUUAUUGCUGGGAGCCACCUCCUCUCCCGGCUCGUCUAGUGCCCAGCCCCAACCCUGGCCAAGCCAGAGAGGGUUUGCAAACUGUCCCUAGUGAGAUGGAAAAACCAUUAAGGGUUUCAGAAUACAGCUCAAGGGACAGCUUACAGUGAAGAGGAGGAGGAGGAAAACGGGAGCAGCCUCCUAAAUCUAAAAAGCCCUUGUCAAAUUGACUCAUGCAGCCCAGCUUUCUAGUCUGGACUCAGCUAAACAGACACUGGAUAAAAUUCACCUUCCUUUACCUGUUAUGAAAGGUUUAUCGCUUUAUCUUUGCAUACUCCUAUCUCCCAUUAUUUGGUGCAUGGACCCUCACCCCCUCCAGCUAAGUGGGUCUCUCCUGUCCCUCACUGCUAUCUUUUUGCUACUGCUGUUUCUCUCUUUUCCAAUGCAAACUGGGCACCUCCUGCCCACCAACAGCAUUAAUGCCAGUAAACUUUGUUAAGCACUUAUCCCAGGCACUGGGGAGGACACCCAGGGAGGGGGUGGGAGGCAGAAACAGAGGCUUAGGGAAACUUCUCAGCAUUUGGGUUCUUAUGGUAAGGCACAGAUCCUCAUGAUGCCCCUUAGCCUUUCCUCCCCACUUGUAUAUACAGGGAACUCUUAUGUGUCAGAGAGUAUGUCUGGAAUUCCAGGUGGACUUCAGACUUAGAUACCUACUUGAAGAAGAUGAUCCCCAAACCACAGAAUCUCCAGAGUGAAAGACUAAAGCAUUCUGCCAAAUAAGCAUCCAGGGCCUGCGUGCACACUUCCAGGGACGGUGAUCAUGUCCUCAGUGCUGCAAUGACUUAUGAGUGAAUGCAUCAAAAAGACCAAGUUGAACUUAUGAGCAAAUGCAUCAAAAAGACCAAGACUUGAUCCCUUGCCCACAAAGAUACAAGGCUGAGGACAAAGCCAUGAAGGAAAAGCCUCAUUGAAGAAGAGGAACCUAAGAGAAGCAGGUUCUGCUCUGAUGAACUCCCAUAAAGGCGUUCCCAUAAAGGUGUGAGCCUGAGUGAUAAUCUAGAUAUGGUACAGUUGACAUCAGGUAUAUGGCGGCAGCCAGAAAUUCAACUUUGUCCAUCAGCUCUCUGCACAACAGGAAAGAUGGUGACCUUCCAGGCUUAUCUGAGGUCCAAGAGUAACAUCACAAACACAGUAACUACACCCAGCCAAAGAAAAGCAUACCUGAAUCCAAGAGAGUAUUUACACUGGCCUCAGGGAUGAGGAAAUAAAGGAGUAAGUGAUUAGG